rnacentral:misc_RNA from 1 species
CACGAUCAACGUGUUGGUGCGCGGAUCCGCGGUGAAACGCAGUUCCUGACCGACAGUGGCCAGGUCCAGGUCUUUCACCUUGUCGCCAAACACCAACUGGCUCUGAGCUUCGCCCUCACCGCCGCCGGUUCCGCCCUCGGUCUGAAACAGCUCCUUCAGGCGAUCGACCAUCGUCUCCGCAUCGCUGUUGACCAGGUUGAAGAGGCGGAUUUCGGAGGUCACGGGGCGGAUACGAUCAAAGUCACGGAUCAUGGCUUCGAGCAUGACCAUACUGUCCGCGGGGCCAUGACCAUCAACGAAUUCGUCCGGGGGUCCGGCUGAAUCUUGAUAUCCUGCCGGAGCAGCUUCCGCAUCACUUCGCGGCCGCGCUCGUCAGUGUCCAGGAACGAGACGAUGACCGCCUUUUCAUCGUCGCCGCCGGAGUCCUCGCCGAUGAUCGUGUCUUCCAACAGUUUGGCGAAGUCCUCGGCAAGGGCCUGCUUGAGCUGGAUCACCUUGACCAUCAUCUCCACCACCGGGGUCGAGGUAUCCAACCGGGAAAUCACGUCGCGGAUGUUGACCAUCUCCGACGGAGAGGCCCACACAAUGAUCGAAUUGGUGCGCUCGUCCGCGACGGUGGAAAUCGCGUCCGCUCGGCCCGUGGAGCCUUCCGCCUGGGACUUGAACAGAUUCUCCAGCGUUUCCGCCACCUUGGCGGCCUUGGCCAGCCUGAGCGGGAAAAUCUCGAAAUUCCGCGACAAGCUCGACGGCUGGUCCAAGAGGGACAACAAGUCUUGAAUGACCACGUGAUCAUCGCGAGAAGCGCUGGCGAUCAGACUGUUCGACGAUUCCUCCGCCAAGAUGACAAUCGGCGUUCGCUGCUGUUCCUCACCCUCCGCCCGGUUGUCAAAGAGCUCUUGCAUGCGCGGGGCGAGCUUGCCGGCCGAACCGUGGUGCAAGGGAUAGACCUUGAACGCCGCCGUCAGCGGUCCGGACUCCACGUCGAGCCGCUUGACCACUUCCGAAACCCGCUCCAUGGAAUCGCGCGUGCCCGCGACGAUGAUCGCGUUGCUCCGCGGAUCGGGGAUGACCGUCGGGGCCUUGAAUGUUUCGGAGGCGCCCUGAAUACCCUCAAAGAGCUUGGUCAGCAUGUCGGAGACGACGGUGGUGUCAGCGUACUCAAGUUUGAAAAGCUGGAUGUCAUCGAUUCGCGGCUGGGAUUCAAGCGUGUCCACCAGGCGCUUGAUUUCAUCAAAGUCCUCGACGCUCGAAGCAAUGACCAGCGUGUUACUCCGAUCGUCGACAACCACGAUCGGAAGGUCUUCGAUCAUCUCCUCCUCGCGGCGGAGGUCGGCCUUGCGCUUCCACAGGUCUUCAAUCUUCGUCUUGAGGUCGGCGGCGUUGAGCAAUCCGCAGCGAACGAUCCGGAUCUGGUCGAACAGCCUGCCCGGCUUGGUGUCGAGUUGACGGACGAUCGAUUCGAUUUCGG